UACGGGGGGGGCAAGCGUUGUUCGGAAUUACUGGGCGUAAAGGGCUCGUAGGCGGCCAACUAAGUCAUACGUGAAAUCCCUCGGCUUAACCGGGGAACUGCGUCUGAUACUGGAUGGCUUGAGUUCGGGAGAGGGAUGCGGAAUUCCUGGUGUAGCGGUGAAAUGCGCAGAUAUCAGGAAGAACACCAGUGGCGAAGGCGGCUUUCUGGACGGUAACUGACGCUGAGACGCGAAAGCGUGGGGAGCAAACAGG
rnacentral:rRNA from 1 species